CUCAUGACCCCAAGGUCAAGCGUCAUAUGCUCUACUGACUAAGCCAGCCAGGUGCCCCUUGCUCUCUUAGUUUUGCAUUUACAUGUCACAUAUUCAGGUUUGCUUGGAGUGUAAAAUAUGUUUCAAACUUGAGAGAGAUCAAAACUAGGUAAGUUCAUGAAAUAUAGUGCCUUCUCUCCUAUGCCAGAGUUAUUUAAAAGGGAGCAAUGGAACUUUUUGGAUUGGUCCCAUUCUGCACUGGGCUACUUCGGCUUUCAGUCUGUGGUUCAGUUCAUUGGCACUCAAUGCCAAAGGAACUAAGGUCGAGGGUUUGAUCCUCAGGUGGGCCAGUUGGCUGCGUAUUUUUCCAACAGGUUGUAUGGAGAUUCAGUACAGUCCCUACAGAAAUGCUGGUCUUCAAGGGGUUCUGGUGAACAUGUGAGUGACGGGUGAAAAUCCAGCCCCAUUACUGGAAAAGCAAAGCCCGUGCCCUACUGUCAUUUUUGCAUCUGGAUGGAACGUGCCACUUAAAAUGUGAGCUUGUUACUCAACCUCCUUGUGUCUCUGUGUCCUCAUCUGGAGAAUGGAGAUAAGAUUUGCUCCCUUUCUACCUCACCAGGAUCUGUGAAGAUUAGAUAAUGGCUGUAAAGUCCUUAUACAAAGGCACGCUUGGGUGAUUUUCACAGUAUACCUUGGAGUUUAAGUUGUAGCAAGGAGCCAUGGCCAUCGCUCAGCAGCACAGUUUGCUCUCUCCAGCUUUAUUAUGGCACACAGCGACAACUUCAUUUUUAGCAUUAAAAAAAAAAUUCUCUUCACUUAAUUCAGACAGUGACCUGCAGGCCUCAUUCUGACUGAAGGAGCCAUUCAGAAUACUUGCAGACAAAAGCAGGGCUUUUUCCUAGCAACCAGAUCAAAGCCAAAUCUCCCAGAAUAGCUCCCUCCCAGGUUUUCUUUGGCGCAUAGGUUCACAAGGAUUCUAAGGCUCGUGGUAUCCAGUUCAAACUACUCUUUCAAACUGAAAUGGAAAGGAAAACUCCUGAGGAAUUUUCACAGACUCUGAAAACCGGCGAGCACUGCAAGAGCACUUCAUCUUGGGAGAACGUGGUGGUCAUUUGGAGCAUCCCUAACUUUGUUAUCGCCCGCAUCUGCAUGUACAUUCUGUCGGACUUCCACAGAAUGAGGUCUCUGUUUCCUUUCUGCCAGUACCUAAUAUCAGCUAUGCCCAGGAGCCGGCUGAUGAAGACUUCCUGUUUGUUUUGAGUCACUGUUAGAGUGAUAAAUAUACUUUAGCUCUCUGCUUAGAGAGGAAAGAAACCAGCUGCCCUGAACUACAGAGAAAAAAUGCAGAAAUUCCGCUGAAUGGCCCUGUUAUCAAGGAGUUUCAAGGGCAGCAUCAAAAUGAAAACUAUAAGCCAGGGCAAAGUAAAUAAUUUCCAUAUUAAAGCAUCUUGCUGCAUGCAUAGACCUAAGUUGUUUGUCUUUAAUCAUUUAGGCAAGCGUUGCAUUUUUCACUCUUCUAAGACUAACUCAGCAAUGUUGAAAGAUUUUUAAAAAUGUAAACUGAUGCUACAGAAUAAUGGGGAGCUAUAUAAAUAAACAAUUACAGUUGUGGUUUUUUGAUCUGACCACAAGCUUUUAAUGCCAUUUUUGCAUGAGCAUAGAAUGCUUCUGGAUAAACAAUACUGUUUACAUUGUCAGUGGCAUCCACUGUUGCAUUGAGUCAUUUACAUAUGUGAUUAUUUGGAUAUAGAGUAACCCAAGAACAAAAGAAUACUAUAAAAUGAUUUAAAACAAGAGCAACAGGAAAUCCUUUACAGCUUAAACAGCACUUCUUAAAUAAAGCUGUGGAAUUUUUGUGUUUUGA